rnacentral:rRNA from 1 species
GAUCCUGGCUCAGGAUGAACGCUAGCUACAGGCUUAACACAUGCAAGUCGAGGGGGAACGACGUCGAAAGCUUGCUUUUGAUGGGCGUCGACCGGCGCACGGGUGAGUAACGCGUAUCCAACCUGCCCAUCACUUGGGAAUAGCCUUGCGAAAGUAAGACUAAUGCCCAAUGAUAUCCCACGAAGGCAUCCGAAUGGGAUUAAAGAUUUAUCGGUGAUGGAUGGGGAUGCGU